CCAGAGGAAGGGAGAUAAACUUGCUGGAUAUUGGGAAUGUUCUACGGUGGUGAUGAAUACAUGGUGUGUUCUACAUCAGGCUCCUCCACCGUUCUCUCAGUAAUGAGGCUCAAGAGGAUCAGAGUUGAUCUGGAUUGGAAUGGAGGAAAACUGUCGUUCUCUGAUCCAGAUUCUAACACACACAUUCACACACACACACACAUACAG